GAUGAACGCUGACAGCAUGCUUAACACAUGCAAGUCUUUGGCGAAGCUGUGCUUGCACCGCCUAGCCAAGGCGGACGGGUGAGUAACGCGUAAGGAACUUGCCCUGCAGUCAGGGAUAACAGACGGAAACGACUGAUAAGACCUGGUAAAGUCAGGCGGACUCAUGUCCAGCCUGAUGAAAAGAGAUGCUGCAGGAGAGCCUUGCGUCCUAUUAGCUUGUUGGUGGGGUAACGGCCCACCAAGGCGAUGAUAGGUAGCCGGCCUGAGAGGGUGGACGGCCACAAGGGGACUGAGAUACGGCCCUUACUCCUACGGGAGGCAGCAGUGGGGAAUAUUGGACAAUGGGGGCAACCCUGAUCCAGCAAUUCGGUGUGCACGAUGAAGGUUUUCGGAUUGUAAAGUGCUUUCAGCAGGGAAGAAAAAAUGACGGUACCUGCAGAAGAAGCGACGGCUAAAUACGUG
rnacentral:rRNA from 1 species